AUCUAUGGCCAUAUAACCCAGAACAUGCCCAAUCAUGUCUGAUCCCGGAAACUAAGCAGGGUCGGGCCUGAUUGUCACUGGAAUGGGACAAAGGCAGUGUGACCUUCUAAAGUCCUUAGACACAGGUGCACAGCUG
ensembl:rRNA 5S_rRNA 5S ribosomal RNA